CCAGGACAAAAGACCCCUGGACUUGGAGCGUUAGGGAUGCUACUUCAUUUCAUUCUCCUAACAAUCCUGCCAGGGGCAUUAUUUCUGUUUCAAAGAUGAGUAAAACGAGGCUCAGGCAGGCCACAAAAUGUGUCCAAUGCCCCUCAGCAGGCCAAAGCAGGGCUGACUCCUUGGCUUCUGCUGUUUCCAGUCAUGUUUAUUCCUUCACCACAUGGAAAUCUGGCUCACUGGCAGGUUCAGUGCAAAGGCAAUCAGGUGAGGACGGAGCCUUGGUCUGAACCCAAGGGUGGGGAGGAGGGAAGGAGGAGGGCUGACGUGUGAGCCUGCUAAAGGAAGCUGCCCUCCAGAGUUCCCCUUUCACAGACAGGUCAAAAAGUAGCUUACUGUGCCCGUGUCCACUUUGAGAGAUGGGAACAUUCUGUUGCUCUGAGGAAAGGGAAGAAGGAGGGAAAGACAGAGACAGAGAGAGUGAGAACCAGAGUCUUUCCCAAACCGUUGUCCUCUAUCCUCCGCCCUCAUCUCCUCCCUGCUGUGCUGGCCUGCAGGUAGCCAAAAAGGACAGAAGGGAACAUGUAUUGAGCCCACUGUGUGCCUGUCCUGGGCAUGGUGACAGAGUGCUCUCUUCUCACCAUCAAACAAGCCCACCUCCAUUUUACAGAGAAAUACACUGAGGCACAGAGAGGUUAAGCAAUUUGCUCAGGAUCACAAAGCUAGCGAGUGGCAGAGCCAGGGCCCUUCACUAGCUAUUUUUUACGGCCGCAGGCUCUCUCUAUAUAGGGUCUCCAAGUACAGAAUUAGGGGUUUCCAGGGUGAGGGGCAUGUCACCCAUCCACUCUGUCCCACUGGUCAGCAGCUGAGGCCGAGACAGCAGCUGAGGCCGAGUCAGGCCCUGCUGGGGCAGUGUCACAGGAAGGGGAGGAGACGAAUGACAGAGCCAACCGGCAUGGCAGCCCUGGCAGGCAGCAACCCACGCUCCCCGAAGAAGUGUAAUUUGUAAUAGCAGCAGGCCUGUCUUGGCCUUCCCUGGCUGGCUCCUGGAGCUCACUUCAUCAGGCAUUUUCUCCAGGAAGUAUGACUCAGCCCCAAAGUAGAGCUGCAGUUCCUGUUUCUAACCUGUGGCUGCUGCGUGCACCUACCACCGGCUGCAGCGUCAGCAACCUGCCCCUCCCUCUGAUGUUCUCGUAGAACAAGACUCUGAUAUGUGCGCUGUUGGGCAUAGCUUAUUUAGCCCAUGACAGCCAAGCUGACACCUGGCUUCACUCACGAAGAUGAUCACAACACCCAAGGGAAUGAAAGAGAAAGAAGAUGGAAGGAACCUGAGUCUCCAAAUGACAAUGUGAGGCAUAGCCACCCUCUCAGAGCUAUUACAGAAAGGAGGAAUACAUUUCUUUGUUCUUUAAGGACUGGAUUUGGGGGAUGGGAGUCUCUUUGUUACAGCAGCUUAACAUACUCUGACUAAUACAAGUCACUUUCAGUAAAUAUGACAGAAGAGAAUAAGAGGGCACAAGGCAAGUCAUUUUUGAAACUAGGAGCUUUGGUUUCCCCUUCUGCAAAGCGGAUGUAACAUCUACCAUUAUCUGUUUAUAUCUAAUAUCUUUCAUUGAACUUCCACCAGUACCAAGAGAAGGGAUAGGGAUGCAAAGAAAUAGAAAACAACAAAAAUAUUCAAACUAUUCAAACUAUUACGGUAGGGCCUCAAUUAAAUUUUCUAGCUCACCCCGUCCCAUCUUACCACCUACUCUGUUUCAGAUUCGUUGAGUCUACACCCUCUCUCCUAAACGCUCCAUGAGCUUCCGUGUCUCUGGACCUUUGCUCAUGCCCUGCCUUUUGCCUGGAAUGCCCCUUCCCUUCUUCCUUACUGGUGAAAUGCCCUCAUCCUUCCUCUGGGGUAGAGUUAACACUUCCUUAUUUUUAUUGGGGUAUAUUACCAGGGUUAUAGGCCAUCCCUUUGUUUUCUGUUUGGGCACUCCACGGGAUCCUAUGCAACUCUGAAUGCCUAGCACUGAGCACAGGGCCUGGCACAAAACAAGUGCUAAGAAGUAUUAUUCAUCUGAUAAACACUGAUCUGGCUGUACACUAAGGACCAGGGUCAGAGUAGGUCUUAAGACCCACGCAUCUUUGCCCUCAGGUGGUUUACAUUCUAGUGGGGAAAAGAGACAUUAAACAAAUGCACAAGCAAAUACGUAACUACAUAUAGUGAUGACUGAUGUAAGAAAACGAACAAGACGUGGCAGAGCACUUGGAUGGGUGACUUUUUUUUUUUUUUUUUUUAAUAACUUUUAUUAAGCUUCAAGUGAACGUUUACAAAUCCAGUCUGUCACAUAUAAGUUUACAUACAUCUCACUCCCUACUCCCACUUGCUCUCCCCCUCUUGAGUCAGCCCUUUCAGUCUCUCCUUUCUUGACAAUUUUGCCAGCUUCCCUCUCUCUCUAUCCUCCCAUCCCCCCUCCAGACAAGAGUUGCCAACACAAUCUCAAGUGUCCACCUGAUAUCAUUAGCUCACUCUUCAUCAGCGUCUCUCUCCCACCUGCUAACCAGUCCCUUUCAUUUCUGAUGAGUUGUCUUCGGGGAUGGUUCCU